rnacentral:lncRNA from 1 species
GUCUGUUUUUGUCUUAAUUGUAUUGUGCUUAGACUAUGGUUAUUUUUUAUGACUAGAUUUAAAUAUAGUGACAGAUUGUACUUUAAGUACUAGUACUGCUUCAGUCGACACUAGGGACCAUCUUGACCCUCUUUUACGGUAUUAUUGAUUCUUUUAUUGUUGAAGACCCUCCAGCAACUUUGACCAUUGUCUUUUAGAAUUUUUUCUAUGCAUUGACUCUGUGCGAUUAGGUUUCGUGCACAUUUACUCCAUAUUCCUUUAUUUUCUGUUAGAGGGUCUGAACAUGACUUAAUGCAAGUUAAACCCUUCAAUGGAAAAGGUCAUAUGGCAAUACAUUAUUGUUUUUUUUUCCAAAUUAUUUGAAUCCGGGAAAUUGGUGACCUUACUUUAAUUUAAACCAUGUCAGCUUUCUAGUUUUAUCUACCCCACAAAAAAAGCCAGUUUUGUAUUCUUUGAUAUCAAGUUCAAUUCUCCAUGCAGAAACGACCAUUUUUUUCUGUGUCUUGUAGCAUCGUAUAUUCUUAAAAUAUUUUCUCGCACAAUAUCUGGACAUCGGUGGGCAUGCAACAUUGCAAAACCACACGUUUACAAAUGAAAAUCAUCACUCAGACUAUAGUCAUAAAGUAGGACAAUAAAUGAACAAAAGACAAACCCGGGACAGUCACAUAGAAAUACAAAC